GGUUCCAUGGUCUAGUGGUCAGGACAUUGGACUCUGAAUACAGUAACCGGAGUUCAAAUCUCGGUGGAACCU
rnacentral:tRNA from 1 species